rnacentral:rRNA from 1 species
CCCUUAGAUGUCCGGGGCCGCACGCGCGCUACACUGAAGGAAUCAGCGUGGCUUUCUCCCUGACCCGAAAGGGUUGGGAAACCCGUUGAAUCUCCUUCGUGAUAGGGAUUGGGGCUUGAAAUUGUUCCCCAUGAACGAGGAAUUCCCAGUAAGCGCGAGUCAUAAGCUCGCGUUGAUUACGUCCCUGCCCUUUGUACACACCGCCCGUCGCUACUACCGAUUGAACGGUUUAGUGAGGGCCUCGGUUUGGUCUCGGCCCGCUCUUUACCGGGCGGCGCCGUUGGUCGAGAAGACGCUCGAACUUGAUCGUUUAGAGGAAGUAAAAGUCGUAACA